rnacentral:piRNA from 1 species
UGGGUCUGGUUGAACUUCCUACUGGGCACUC